rnacentral:misc_RNA from 1 species
GAGACUGGUAGCCUCGAGAGGAAAAAUAAGCAUAACAAAUCACUCCUGCCUUCGGGGUCGAGGCGGGCUGGUCCGAGUCUCUGUUUUGGAAGCUCAACCAGUGGCUGAUGAUUCACAUGUUUCACUGCCGCAUGGUUCUAACCUACCACAUGUGGUGGGUGUGUUUCUGGCACUGGGACGGCCUGGUCAGCAGCCUGUAUCUGCCUCAUUUGACACUGUUCCUUGUCGGACUGGCUCUGCUUACGCUAAUCAUUAAUCCAUAUUGGACCCAUAAGAAGACUCAGCAGCUUCUCAAUCCGGUGGACUGGAACUUCGCACAGCCAGAAGCCAAGAGCAGGCCAGAAGGCAACGGGCAGCUGCUGCGGAAGAAGAGGCCAUAGCUGCUCCAGCCGGGGCUCCGGGGCGGCAGCAGAGCUGGCACACCGAUUCUGGGAAGCCCCGCGAAUGAUGGCUUUUGAAUUAAUGAGGCAGUGAAUGUUUUGUGUUUACUUCUAAGGGAAAUACUAACUUUCUUUCGCAUUAGUAUUAAUUUUGAAGUAGCUACAAAGUAUUUUUAAGAAAUUAUAAUUUUAUGACUGUCUGGCA